CGAAAAGUACCUCCAAGGAUUACGUCAUGACGACGGCUACUCUCAUGGCUACCUGAAGUGAGACGAAGAGCUAAAGCUUUUUGAGAGGUCCCUGGCUGCCGUCAACGAGAGGUAUGCUGUGCGGACAUCAAGAGACCUGAGCAAGUCGUCUAAAUCCAAUGUCGUCUUCUCCAUGAUCCACUGCGGAUCUCGAAUCUCUCUGGACAAUGUGCCGUUCCGAGUUGUCAAGGAAACCGUCAAAGUGUGCAUAUUUGGAACGGAGUACUACAAGAAAA